CGUCUCUAUAUGAGGCAACCGACCUCAUACUUUUCCGGAAAUCUCUAUCAAAAUCGAAAUCCAAUCUGAUAAUCCACCGACAUCAGCGAUUAAAUAUGAUUCAUCCUUUUCGGGCAGCCUCUAUCCAAAUCGAGCUUCAUAUUCAACGGACCUUGGCCGGGGAAUUGAAAUCAAGAACAUCGCUGGGAUAGGAAGAAGAAGAAGAAGAGACGUCCAAGAUUUUGGUCGACUUUCGGAGCAAAGUUUGGGUUUGUUUCGGAAAAGGUUGCUGCUAGAAUUUUGAUCGAGUUUGGGAGGAAGCUUUCAAUAGCCGUGUUCUUCGGGAAGCAUCUGUUUACACCGACCUCCACUGUUACACCCAAAUACCCAAAUCGUUGAUCCCAAUCGUGACACUACCAAUUCUUCGGUGUCGUCUACAGCCGUGUGAGAUGGUUGGAUUCUAUUCAAUCUUGAGCAUCAGAGCGCAAAUCAUCUAUUCCAUAAAAGGUCUGCUGUAGGAAAUCAUAUUGUCAAGAAAAAUUGUUUUUGUAGCCUGAAGUAUGUUGUGGUGGUAUUAGGAAGACUGAGGUGAAGAUUGCGGAUUCUGCAGAUAUUGAAUCAAAUUCACUGUUCACUGCAGAUUUUUCAACAUAUGAUAGUGUUUAUAAAGUCAGAUUUCUAUAUGCAGCUGUACCGGUACAUUCAAGAAUCGGCAAGAAUCAUCAAGUUUUUCAUCAAGAUGAGGUCUGAUGGCUGAAUUUGUUGGUUGUUAGAAAUCAGAACAAGCUUCAGGUUUGUAUAACAUUAAAUCCAUAGGAGUUUCAAUACGACCAUAGUUUGAAAACACAUUAUCUAGAUUGAUUUGGCUUAUCUUUCAAUAUAGUUAAACAGUAAAUGAAGCUACUUCUUCAUUUAGUAAUUUGGUGUCCAUAUACAUACGUAACUGUUAAUGAGUAUUUGACAUGACCUUUGAAAACACAUUGUUUAGAUUUUUUCAACUUAUUUUUCAAGAAUCAUCUAUAGAUAUCUAGGUAAAAGAAUUUAAUAAAUUCUGCUAGAGAUCGAGGUGUUGCAUUUUACUAUAGUAAACUUAUGCCAAACACUACA